GAUUUCUGGCACGAUGCGCCUGGCCCGCCACGGUUUCGUGUGUGAGUGCCGGGUCGGAUCUGCCAUCCUUCCAGAGAACGGUCCUACCCUUCACUGGGCCGGGGCCGCACAUCUGGAUCGUUUACUUUGAAAAAAUUAGAGUGUUUCAAGCAGGCGUUUAGCUGUGAAUACAUUAGCAUGGAAUAAUGACUUAGGACUUCGGUUCUAUUUUGUUGGUUUCUAGGACUGAAGUAAUGAUUGAUAGGGAUAGUUGGGGGUGCUAGUAUUCAGUGGCCAGAGGUGAAAUUCUCGGAUUCACUGAAGACUAACUUAUGCGAAAGCAUU
rnacentral:rRNA from 1 species